GACAUGUUUCCUCUGUUCUCAUCAGGCUAUUACGAAGCUGCUAGAAUCAAUUAAGGCAGGCUAAUCAGGACUUCUUUUAAAAAGGAGCUCACUUCAGUUUGUGGUGUGCGUGUGAGGACCUGGGAGCAAGAGGCAAUAGGAGCGAGAACACUGACUGUUGGAGGACUGAGGUGUACAAGCAUUAUCAGACACCAGGAGGAAGGUCCUAUGGUGAGGAUAAAGAAGGUGUUGGGAGGAGGCCAUGGGGAAGUAGCCCAGGGAGUU